AGGAGAUGGACAGGAUGAUGAAGAUGUUGUUACUCAUAACCCUGAUACAGCAGAUGGAUGGGUUGAUGUAGGUGUGGUUACUCAAAGCACUGAUACAGACCUACUGAUUCCUAUUAUUUCAUCUGUGAGUGCCCUAGUGGUACUUAUCUGUGUUCUGAUCAUAGCAUGCUGCAUCAUAAGGAAGCAUA